CAAUGAUUAAGCAAAAUCAGUCUUUGGAAGUGGUUUAACUAGAGAUAAGAGUCAUUAAACAAAAGUAUUUAACAGUUGUCCUCAAUAACUAUUGCAGGAAUGAGUUAAUGAAAGACUCAUGUGUAUAAAACCCAAGUUGGAGGCUCUGUAAGUCUUGAGUAAUGGUAAUCACUAGUUUCAAACCAGUCUUGAAAUGACUUCCACCCUGGUAGCUGGCCUGGCUGAGGAAGGCUGCACUAGAGGGAAAAAGAGAGUGUGAAGGUGUAAUGGUGGACCAAGCCCAGAAGACUCCCGGUGCAGCUCACCAUGAACUUGCUGAGAGAGUCCUGCCCUCAUACUUUGAGAAGCAACCUGCUACAGUGAGACUGGGACAGGCCGUGGAUCUCCAUCUGAGAGCAUCAAGAACGCUGGACCUUUAGAGUUAGAAAGAACUUUAUAGUUCUUACUCAUCUCACUUCACAGGUGAGGAAUUCAAAGCUUGACAUUAAAAAAGUAAUUGAAAUUGAGGGAUUAAGUGAUUGGCUCAAGGCUACAUAGCCAGGGUGGCAAUGGCACUGAGGGUGUAUUGCACCCUUCUCACCUACUCUAGACUAAGAACCUUUACUCACCUCUCCACAUCCCCAUGUUACAGGUUACUUUGUGUCUCCCUAAAAUUCAUAUGUUGAAGUCCCAACUCCCUGCCCCUCAGAAUAACCAUAUUUGGAGAUUUAAAGAGGUAAUUAAGAUUGAACAAGGUAUCUAGAGUGCAGUUCUAAUCUAUUAUGGCUGGUGUAUUUUCUAAAUAAUUUUUAAUAUUCAUAAAAGCCUAAUGAAAAGGCACAAAAUAUGGUCUAACUAGAAUUCCAGGUUUCAUUGCUUUUAGGUAGAAUUAUACCAAUGUGGUGACAUCAGCUAUCUCAUAUGCAUCUGAAACUUUAAUUAGUAAUAUACAUCUUGAUUAAUUUAAAAUGAGAAAAUUAUGUAUCAUUUAACAAAGUUGAUUUGCUUGAUAAAUAAAAAACUCGGGCGUUUUGAUGAAGAGAAGAUU
rnacentral:lncRNA from 13 species